ACAAUUGCCGCGACAAAGCGUCAUCGAAGCCGCAAGGCGGAGCAAAUACCAUCAAAAGCGGUCUCAGUACGGAUAGCGCUCUGCAACCCACCAGCAUGAAGACGCAAACGCUAGUAACCUAGGAUCAGCCAUGCCACGGUGAAUACGUUCUCGAGUCUUGUACACACCGCCCGUCAAGUGAGCCGAGUCGGCAAUACCAGAACCGC
rnacentral:rRNA from 1 species